AUGGAUUGGUGUAUGCUGUUUAUAAAAAUGGCUCUUGGGCUACCUUGGAAGAAGAAAAUGAAAGGAACUUUACAAAACCAAUGUGCUUCUCAACAUUUGAACUGUUUUUGUCCCCUUCCAAAGGUGCGGUUAAGAUUAGUGUUCAAUGGAGCCAUAGAGCAAGGAGAAAACCUAAAGAGGCAGAACUCAUUGGUGAUGGGAAUGGCCCGAAGUCAAGCUCCCAUGAUGACUGAAGCUGUGGUGAAGAGAGAGAUGUUCCUCCAAGGGCCAUUUGAAGGGAAUGACCAGAGAAACUCUGACCUGAAUCCUGACCCUCAAGCAUCAAAAUGACUCAUUCAAGACUUUCAAGGUAGCUCUUCAUCUCCUGAGAUUGUAUUUAAAUUUUGAAGACAUUUAUAAAAGUAGCAAAAAUGACAAAGAAUUAUAAAUAUCCAUGGGCCUAUGACAAAUAAUUGGUAAUUAUUAACGUUUUUGUCACAACUGCCUUAAAUGUUUUUUAAAUAAGAAAAUCAAACAUUUUAGGUAAGAUUGACAUCCCCUCUGGUUUUUGAUGUGAGUCUCAUUUCUUCUUCCCUUUCUAGUAGCUACCACUUUCAUGGAUUAAGUAUCUUUUCCAUUUGAUGCUUUUGAAAACAUUGUAUGUAUGAAUAUACAGUAUUAUUUAAUGUUUGUGGGAUUUAAAAAAAAUUUCCACGAAUGACAUCAUAUUGUACAUGUACUACAUAUAAUUUAGCACACUUUUUCACUUAAAUUAUGUGUUUCAGAUCUCAUCAUUACCUUGUACUUCUUAAGUAUUCGAAAACUUCUUAAGUAUUCCAUCCAUUCUUCAAAUAAUGGGCAUGAAGAUGGUUUAUAUUUUUCUCCCAUUUUAAAUAGAAUUGCAAUGAAUUUUCUGGUAUAGGUGUGUUUGUGCACAUGUCCACAAUAUUCUCUGGAGUGAGUCUGGAAGUGUAUGUACAUAUUGUAUAAAUAUGUGUGUGUGUGUGUGUGUGUGUGUACGCAUCAGAAUUACUGGGUCAUAGGGAAUGCAUACACUCAAGACAGCCAAAUUGCUCUUUGCAAGUAUAUUAUCAAUUUAUAUUUCUCUAGAAAUUCAGGAUAAUCAUGAUUUUCCCUUAUUCCUUCAACACUUGUUCUUUUCAUACCUUUAAAUGUUUCCUAGUCUGAUGGAUGAGAAAUUAUUUUUCUCAUUAUUAUUUCAAUUUGAAUUCCCUAGAUUGAUUAUUAAGGUUGGGGACUAUUUACAAUUACUCAUAUGUGAAUUUCCUGUGCAUUUUCUUUCCUCAUUUUUCUAUAUAUUUUUUGUCUUUUACUUACUGGUUUAGCAUUUCCCUAGAUACUUGUCCUUUGCUAUAUGUGAUGAAAGUGUCUUCAGAUCUGCAGGUGAUCUCACAAUCAGCAACUUUUGCUACACAGUGGCUUUUUACGUUUUCGUUUUUUCUUAUUUUUUUUAAUGUUUAUUUAUUUUUGAGAGAGAGAGAGAGAGAGAGAGAGAGAGAGACAGAGCUUGAGUGGGGGAGGGGCAGAGAGAGAUGGAAACACAGAAUCUGAAGCAGGUUCCAGGCUCUGAGCUGUCAGAACAGAGUCUGAUGCGGGGCUCAAACUCAAGAAUUGAGAGAUCAUGACCUGGGCUGAAGUCGGAAGCUUAACCAACUGAGCCACGCAAGUGCCCCUGUUUUCGUUUUUAUAAUACAUUAAUUUAAAAAUUUUAAGUGGUAAAACUUACCAAUCUUACCUUUUACAUGUUAGGGUUUUUUUUUUUUUUUUCAUAUUUAUGGAUUUCCCUACAACUCAUUUUAAGAGCAUUUGGAUAUUCUACCAUGAGUUUAUGCAACCAUUUUAAGGUCUGUUUUAUGACAUGUAGGUUAUCCCAAGGUUCUAAACCAUACAUUUCCUUUUUUUAAUGUUUGUUUGUUUGUUUGUUUACAGAGAACGAAUGGAGGAGGGGCAGAAAGAGGCGGAGAGAAAGACAAUCCCAAGCAGGAUCCAUACUGUCAGCACAGAGCUGGAUGCGGGGGUGAGAUCAUGACCUAAGCCAAAAUCAAGAGUUGUAUGCAUAGGGGCGCCUGGGUGGCUCAGUCGGUUAAGCGUCCAACUUCAGCUCAGGUCAUGAUCUCAGGGUCUGUGAGUUCGAGCCCUGCAUCAGGCUCUGUGCUGCCCGCUCAGAGACUGGAGCCUGUUUCAGAUUCUGUGUCUCCCUCUCUCUCUGACCCUCCACCGGUCAUGCUCUGUCUCUCUCUGUCUCAAAAAUAAAUAAACGUUAAAAAAAAAUUUAAAAAUAAAU
ensembl:lncRNA